rnacentral:rRNA from 1 species
UACGGGAGGGUGCAAGCGUUAUCCGGAUUCACUGGGUUUAAAGGGUGCGUAGGCGGGCAGGUAAGUCCGUGGUGAAAUCUCUGAGCUUAACUCAGAAACUGCCAUGGAUACUAUUUGUCUUGAAUAUUGUGGAGGUAAGCGGAAUAUGUCAUGUAGCGGUGAAAUGCUUAGAUAUGACAUAGAACACCAAUUGCGAAGGCAGCUUACUACACAGUUAUUGACGCUGAGGCACGAAAGCGUGGGGAUCAAACAGG